GUAUUCACUUUUACGAUUUCUAAUAUUAGAAUAAACACCGUGUCAUCAAACAAUAUGUGUGUGUGGGGGUGGGGUGGGGGGAAGGUGGGGGUGGGCUGGUCAUAUGGGUGUUGAAGAAGUGCAAGCUGUAGUGGCUUGUCCAAUGCAGCCCAUUUGCAUUUGUUUAGCGGGGUCGCCAGGAUCUAGGUAACUUUUAAACUCAGAAGGGAUAGAAAAUCUUAAUUAGUGCAUAAUUACAGGCUGUGGCAGCGGCAGCUGCAGUGGCAUCCGUCAACUUGCACUUCUUUAAAUUCUUCUCCUGUAUGUGCGAAAGCUUCAUGGACAGACUGGAUGAAGCCUUGCGGGUCCUGGUGCCAUCUGGGAACAACAAACCAACUCACACUGCUUUAGAUUAUAACUAUAAGAAUUGCAAGCAAAGAAAAUACCCUUAAAAAUAAUAGUAGUAGGACUUUAUUAAUUUGGUUCAUAAAAUAAAAAUAAUAAUUAAGAUUUAAUUUUUAAUUAAUUGAAAUCGAUUAUACGAAUAGCUCCCUACAGCAAACACAUGACAUUUUUAAUCCUUGCCUAUAUGUAUUGUAUUAUUGAGUAGAAUAUUAUUAUUAGUUAGUAUUUAAUAAAAAGUAACCUUAAAUGGCAUUUUUUUAUUAAAAAAAGAAAAAUUAAAGUAACCUGAUGGGCAACUGAGGUUGUAUUUUAGGCCUAGUCCAAGCAUAACAAUCCAACCCAAGUAGUAGGAAAUAACUACUUUUCUAUAUAAAAUUUACGCCCUGUUUGGAUUAAUGAAAAAUAAAAGAAGAAAAAAAAUGAGUAGAAAAUAAAAGAAUUUUCUACCUUCACUUAUUUGGAUUAAUGGAAAACAAGAAGAGAGCAAAAUAAAUUAGGAAAAUGUCAUGUGGGCUCAUGAGUAACUUUCUCUCCAAAUUACUGGGAAAGUUAAUAGUAAAUACAUGAAAUUACAUUUUCAUCUUUACAAUAAUAUAUUUUAUUUACACAAAAAGAAAAAAAAUUAGAUAUUUUACUAUAUAGAAAGCUACUUUUCUCUCUUAUUUUCCUUUCUAAUAUAUAAAUAAUAAAAAAAAUUCAUGAACUUUUAUUUUCCCACCUCAAUUUUCUCUUUAUUUUCUUUCCUCAAAAAAAUUUCCCGUUGCUUUUCAUUUGGACAGGGGAAUCGAGUGAACAAGUAAUAGUAGCGUGAGUUGAGAUCCCCGCCAAUGUUCUAAUAUGUUAGCCUGUAGUUCGAGGAUUGACGAAGUUCCACCUGAUAUUAGCGGAGAUGAUUGAGGGGACUAAUGAGAAUUGGUUGGAAACAAUGGACAUUGCAAAAACAUGAGCCAACUAGCUGAAAUCAAGUGAAGGACAGGAUUCGUUUUAUUUAUUUAAUGAAAGUUUUACUUUUAAUUCGUUAAAAACAGGAAUUUAAUUUCAAAUUUAGCUAACGCUAACUCUAAUGGGAAAAUCAUAAAAAAAGGAAAAGUCCUCAAUUGAGUAGUGUCUUAAAAAUUAAAACAAACUUAAUUUAAUUUUAAAUUAUUUUUU
rnacentral:misc_RNA from 1 species